AGAGUUUGAUUAUGGCUCAGGAUGAACGCUGGCGGCGUGCCUAACACAUGCAAGUCGAGCGAUUCUCUUCGGAGAAGAGCGGCGGACGGGUGAGUAACGCGUGGGUAACCUGCCCUGUACACACGGAUAACAUACCGAAAGGUAUGCUAAUACGGGAUAAUAUAUUUUGAUGGCAUCAUCGAAAUAUCAAAGCUCCGGCGGUACAGGAUGGACCCGCGUCUGAUUAGCUAGUUGGUGAGGUAAUGGCUCACCAAGGCGACGAUCAGUAGCCGACCUGAGAGGGUGAUCGGCCACAUUGGAACUGAGACACGGUCCAAACUCCUACGGGAGGCAGCAGUGGGGAAUAUUGCACAAUGGGCGAAAGCCUGAUGCAAGCAACGCCGCGUGAGCGAUGAAGGCCUUCGGGUCGUAAAGCUCUGUCCUCAAGGAAGAUAAUGACGGUACUUGAGGAGGAAGCCCCGGCUAACUACGUGCCAGCAGCCGC
rnacentral:rRNA from 1 species